rnacentral:rRNA from 1 species
AGAUUGAACGCUGGCGGCAGGCCUAACACAUGCAAGUCGAGCGGCAGCACGGGUACUUGUACCUGGUGGCGAGCGGCGGACGGGUGAGUAAUGCCUAGGAAUCUGCCUGAUAGUGGGGGAUAACGUUCGGAAACGGACGCUAAUACCGCAUACGUCCUACGGGAGAAAGUGGGGGAUCUUCGGACCUCACGCUAUCAGAUGAGCCUAGGUCGGAUUAGCUAGUUGGUAGGGUAAAGGCCUACCAAGGCUACGAUCCGUAACUGGUCUGAGAGGAUGAUCAGUCACACUGGAACUGAGACACGGUCCAGACCCCUAGGGAGCAGCAGUGGGAAUAUUGGACAAUGGGCGAAGCCUGAUCCAGCCAUGCCGCGUGUGUAGAAGAGGUCUUCGG